UUAUAUAGAUAAAGGCUCUGCCCCAUGAGUUUCUAGUGGACUUUUAUUCAUUUUCCAUUCCUUGUGUAUCUCUAAGUUCCUAGUGUGUCUUUGCCUCAGUUAAGUUACUUUUGUUAUCCCCUGUGUUUAUGUUUUCUUAAUUUCCCAUUUUUCAUGUUUGUUUGUUUUUGUGCAUAUAACCAAUUACCGACAUCUUCACUGAUGUGUGAGUUGCGGCUCACUUGCUUGUUAUUUUCUUUGGGCGGUUGGCAAACAACAAAUUUGAGCAUUGACGCCACCAUCUGGUGUGGAGAGUGGAUCAACAUUGCUAUCAUUUACUUUUGUUUAAAAAAAACUAAAACCAAAACAAAACUAAAAAUCUAUAUCUACACAAUUACAUUUGUUUGUCUAAGAUACUGCAAAGGGAUUUAACAACACUCAUUUGAGUUCUUUUGUAGAAUUUAAAGGAAAAUCACGCAGCCACUUCCUUAUGGAUGGAGGUCAGGUCACGUAUUUCCGGUCUAGAGUGGAGCUCCAUUGGCAGACCCUUCUCGUUAGGUACGGAAACCACAACACCUGCUGCCCAACCGGGUGAGGACCGUUACGGUCAGGUUAGCGUGGUCAAGUACCGGUCAGGCUCUUUCAGCCCUGAGUCCAUUUCUAAUUGUACACGCUAGUCGAGGGACAAAGGGCGAAUAACAACAAACGCUGCCCAGAUGUGUUCAGGACCCCAGGCAGUCACGCGACACUUCCGGCUGGCGCUGUCAAACCCACAGGAAGCCAAAUGGGUGACCACAUUAGACACCAUGUCUAUUGCUAGCUGCAGUUAAAGGGUCUUCGAGGAGCGGGAAGCUGCAAUUCCUAGAUGCUUGGAAACAAGUAAGACUCAGACCGGGGAUGAUGAUAAUCGCAGAGACAAAGGGAACGUUCUACAAGACAAAGUGCACCGAACUCUGGUUGUCAGUGUUGAGCAGAGAGAUGGUACCCUGCCCCUUUUUCCAGGAAGGCGUCACUGCUUACGUCUGAAGGACUGACUGGGUUGUCCGACUUUUUACUUAUUUUUAUGACUCACGGUGGGAAUGUGAAUGACCUGUGCCUCUUUAUGAGUAUUGGUGAAGUACCAAACACUGAGAUUUAGAAAUUAAAGGUUUUUUUUGUGAUACUAUUAUGUCAAAUGUUGACGUAUACUCUGUCCAAAGAGUAUGGUAAAGUUGUUUGGUUAUAAUAGUACUUUAAAGCUUUAAAACACGUAGACUUGUGCCAGUAAUUGUUGAUAAUACUUGGUAAUCGACAGACAAACACUGGAAUCAAACAAUACCAAUAUCAAUGCCGAAUGCGACCCAUGAGCAAUGGCUCCAGAUUGAGUGUCCAGCUCCCAAGUGCUGGGAGUGUGGCGAUGGCACCGUGAGGCUGCAGCACAAUGAGGCGGCAUUCCCUCUGGGGAGAAAGAGGGGCAGGGUUUCCAGUCGGGGCGUGUUGUCUGCAUCCUACAGAAAGACGGGGCAGAAAACCAAGAGCUCCCCCUAAACCCAGUGAGUGUCACCUUCCCUGCGACGAUCGGCUUGCUGAAGGCGACUCGUGGACAGGUGAUAGCAACGCCCAUCGCCGUCAGAUGUUUCAUUAUCUGAAGAGUCAAAUGGACUUCAGUGAGCCUGUCUUAUUGAGGCCAAAGCUGUUGAGCGAAGGCCCACGGACAAUGCGUUGUGAUCUUUCACCAUUCUCUGUGCCUGACAGAAAAGUCAGCGAUAGAUAAGCACGUGCACAGUAUAUGUUUAAGGACACUAAAUACUAAAAGUAUCCCAGCCGCUAGUCUGAAGCAUUAUUUUAAAAUUCUCAGUUAAUACUCCAGCCUUUAAGUCAAGCGCACUCCAAUUUCAGUCCUCUGCGCCCAUACCCAUUCCCCGUUCUGCACGUGGCCACUGGAAUGACAUGUUCUGCUGGAAACAGCAGGCUUGAACUGAAGAAAUGGGGAGCAGGGGACAGGGGAGAGAGAGAAAGACGUCACAGCUUUCAUCAUGACACAUAAGUGACUGGAUAAAAAAAAAAAAAUGCCCCACAGGUCUGUUUACUGUCCUUCGAGCUGGUUAAUUUAAAGUAAAUAUUUGCACCCCACAGCUGACGGAGACCUGGAGGGCUGAGGGUGAUUAAGACACCCAUGGGGUUUCUCCUAUGCAAAGGGCAGGGGCUUUGAAGACUAUUAAGAGCGCUCCUGCCGUUUAUUUUAUUCAAUUUCAAUCAACACAGUCCACUCUGGGUAAUGAGGAAUUAGCCUCUUGUUAUCUCCCUCGCACAGACACGGUACACAUACAAGUCAGGUGAGGGGUCGGGUGAGUGGAAAGGGGAAGACGGGGGACAGUUAAAGCAUCAUUUUAUGGUUGAUUACAGCGUGAAUCUAAUUUGGGUACAGUGCAGUGUUUUACUAAGAGAACAAGAAAUGUCCACCUCAUGAUGGUGCAAGAGAAAAAAGGCCUUUGGACCAUCAAUGUCUGGGGGAUUCAUCCGACCGACUGACAUCACAAGAGCCAUGAUGCUCGUUUGCCAAACCCCCCCCCCCCCCACACUGAACUACCCUGUUAGGGUUAGGGAAAACUGAUUAGGUAAUGUACAAGUGCCCAUCUGUCAACACGUACAUUCAAAAAUAAACUAAAGUGCGACGUUGCAGCCCAACCCUUCUAUACCCCAAAAAUUCAUAGGUAUUUUUCGGUAAGUAUUAUUAGGUAACGGGGUAGAUAGGUAAGUAUUAUUGAUCAGACAUAAACAUAACACUGUAAAUGUAAUCAAAUGAUGCACAACAAGUGAUCCUGCAUUCCGACCUUGUGUGUAUUUUUGGCGACGGCAUCUUGUACACAGCUAGAUGUAGUUCAGCCAGACAGGAUAGACUCAGCCCCUAACGUCAACCCUCUUCGUGUCGAGCGCGUCACGCCAGCUUGUCUUUCUUUCUGCAAUUGGCCUAUUUUCCGACUAGUAUACAGUAAAUUGCUGCAUUUAUACAGCGCUUUUCUUAGCCUUAGCGAGCUCUACACUACAGCAUGUGUCACAUUCAGCCGCUUCAUAAUUUUAAAAGCGGUCGUUCCAAUGCAAAACUAAAUCCCAAAACUGUAUUGUUUUUUAAUACAAUUUAUUUUGUUUAGGUAUCCAAAUUUAGCGGGAAUGCGUUGGUGGACAUCCUCAUCUUUACCGUGUGUCUGUGUCUGUGUGUGUGUGUGUGUGUGUGUGUGUGGGUGUGUGGGUGUGGUGAUGUGAGCGAUAACGAUAGAGGGGUGGAGGGGGAAGGUCUGACUCCUUAUCUGCCGCUUCGUUAAGAUGACACGAUUACAAUAAUUGUUCCCGGACCCUAAUCAGACCACAGCAGGAGAUGGUGUAUGUGUGUGUGUGUGUGUGUGUGUGUGUGUGUGUGUGUGUGUAUGUGAUGAUUGCCUGAAAAGAUUUUUCAACAUUAUUUAAGCUGCUCUACAGUUUAGACAAUAGAUUCAACAGUUUGGUCUGAGCAGCCUGAUUGGUUCACAGCUUCAAUUCACGGUUUCCAGUUGUUUUUCGAGGGUUUGAGAGUUGUCAGUUGUCCUCCUUACAGAUGCAGAGUCUCGAUCCCCUGCUUCUCAUUAAAGGCGGAUGGGGUAUAAGUCCUUUUUUUUCUAUACAUCAGAGAAAGUUUUUGUUUUUUCCAUUACUCUCCAGUAAUCAGAGCUCAAAGGCUGAGAGUUGUUACUGAGGCUCAGGAGGGGCACCACACAUUCCUUUUCCCAGGGUGUAGAUAGUGAUAAUGUGGUGUAUUAAACGUUCCGGGUGCUGUGGACAUUAACCGAGCUUUUCUUGUUUCCCCGUCUGUCUGCGGCAGACAGUCAACAGUCGCCAACAGGUUACUGGAGCCAGCUGGUGAUUGGCGCGCUGCUUGGUCGAGUUCCCAACAGGCCUGAGGAAUUCCAGGUGGGACGGAGGUGUAAUUGAGUGAUGCUACCCUCAAGCAGUGUACCUUACACACACACACACACACACACUGUUACAUUGCUUUUUCUGCUAAUGAUGUCUGCUACUGAAAACGGAUUUUUACUCUUUAGCCGUCGACAGUCACUCAGUCAAGGUUAAAAACAGGUUAAAAACAAGGCCGUGUGUCAGACUUGCAGAACUUGAGGGGAAACUACUGUUGUCUAUCAGACAGACCAGUUCAGGCCAAAACUUGAAAACAUCCUCAUUGUAAUCAUCGUAAAACAGAUCAGCACAGUUGAUGGACACAGAGAGAGACACUUUUUGCUGUCGUACUCAAACUGGAGCACCCCAUCAUUCAGUGAUGGUUGACACGUGAACUUGAGCGGGGAGCAGUCCACCUGAGGACGUUGUCGUGACCUGAGCGGCGUGAUGUCAUCCCAUCUAUGACAAGGGGCAAUGCAAUGCAUCAAACCUCCCUCAUCCGCCGAACCUGAACCAAAAAGCACCAGCCAACCAAACCCUAAUGGGAUCUCAAAUGGUUGCUUAAUAUAAUUGUCUUUAUUGCCUAUUGCCUCUGUGGAGGGCAUUGCGGGGGUUAGGGCUGCAGUUAGUGUAGGGUGUGUGUGUGUGUGUGUGGUGGGGGGGGGGGGUCAGGAGGCAGUGGAGAUUGCUCUUUAUAGCCUCGGUGGCGGAGGUCCAUGCCAAAAUAUGGCCGUCCAUUACAGCGGGCUCUAUUAGGUUAAUGACUUUAGCAGCUUUAUGGCCAUGAGCUCAUUACUUAGACAGGCCAAUAUAAUCAGCAGCCGCACUGGAGCCCACCGACAGAGCAGACAGGUCUGUGGGUAAGAAACGGACCCGAGGGUUUUCCCCUGUGCAGCCUGGGAGACACUCGUGGUAUGUCUUACACUCAUCUGUCGUCUUACCAGGAGCGGCACACAAUUCUGCAUUAACAUACAUGCUCUAUACUCUAAAUUUGCUCCCAGGCAAAUAAUGUCCACGAACUUUAAUGAUUGCAAUGGCCAAUAAAUAAAGUGGACACAAACGACGUCUGUGCCAUUACACAGAAGGACAGCCAUUUAGUAUUUAAAACCUGAGAGUUCAAAAAACAAAACAAAAAAACAAACAAACAAUUAAAAUGAUUUAUAAAUGAAUGGUUUGCAUUUUCAAUAGCUCACUCACUCAUUUAUGAAUUUAUUGAAAUUAAACCACCUCUCAUGUGUCUGUGACAUCCUCUCACAUCUUUCACAGGUGUAAGUUUGUGUAAAAGGCCUUAGCAAAUCCCUUAGCACCCUUAUCAGUGAGUAUUUUGCUCUAAUAUGCAUAUUUCAAGGUUUGCAUUUUCAAUAGCUCACUCAUUUAUGAAUUUAUUGACAUCAAACCACCUCUCAUGUGUCUGUGACAUCCUCUCACAGCUUUCACAGCUGUUAGUUUGUGAAAAAAGGCCUAAGCAAAUCCCUUAGCGACACAGUCCCUUACACAGUAACGCUGUUACGUGUCUGUGAACGCCUGUCCACAGUGGGAGGGCAUUUUCCACUGUCAGGAUCAAGCAGAUCUGUGCUGUGUACAGAAAAUGUGGACAUUCACUUUCGUAAAAACUCACAGUGAGUUCCAUAAAUAAAAAGAUGUUCCUUUUGUACUUUUCUUUUGUUUGUAUUUGUUCAACUACUACAAUACUACACCUUUAUUUAUAAAAAGGAUGUGGCUUUGUUUUGUAUACUGCUAAGACGACCCUAGAAAACAGGUCAUUGUUCAAAGUCAAAAAACAUCAAACAUUAUUAUGUUAGUUUUAAUAAAUUUAAAAGUCCUGUACCUUUCUCUGGCAUUUCUACUUUCUUGCUGUAUGGAAAACCUACUGAACCGUGACACCACUGUGUGGUAUGUGAACCGUUACACCCCUAGUAUGCAUGCUUGUGUUAUUUAAAAUGGCCUCCAAUAGACAGGCAGUGAUGAAAAGCAGCAGCAGCAGCAGCAGCAUCAUCAUCAUCGACUGUUCCUGCAUCAGCUCAUCGGCCUGCCGCUUCCUGGGUGUGCAGUGUUCAACAGGGAGCUGCGGGAGUUUGCUCGGUUCAUCUCACCGGCGGGGUUAUUUUUAAACCCAGGGUUUGAUCGUACACAGCGGUCUAUCAUUUAGGGAAGUGGAAGUAAUGCCGAACGGUUCCUUUUGAACCCUCAGUGCCAGUGCUUUUGUAAAACAGCUGAGUCACUGUUUAAAAAAAAAAAAAAAAACUUAUCACGAGCUGAAAACAAUGGGCUUACUGACCUUCAGUGGUUUCACUUUAACCUUUGCCACAGCGUUGAUGUCAAGCACCACAGGGCAGUGAUUCUCAGACUGGGGGUCCGACUCCACUGGGGUCACGAGACGAUUUCCUGGGGAUUGCCAGAUGUUUGUGGAGAUACAUAAACAUAACCUUUCUUACGGCUCAGGGGAAGAGAAAAAAGGGACGUCGUACUCACCUGCCUGAUUAUCCCGGUGGGUCACCACUCAAAGGGCAGAAAGUAAUGAUCACACCCUGCAGGAGGAGGGUGUGAUCAUUACUUUCUGCCGUGUAUUAUAGGCCUAGUGUGUAGGAUUUAGGUUGAUCCAUCAGCAUAGUCAUUAUCACCUGAAACUAAAAAUCAGUUUUCGUCAGUUUAGAAUGAGUCCUUCAUAUCUACACAGGGAGCGACUCUUUAACUACUAUGACUUUCUGUUAUAUCUACGUGGAAUCAUGCAUUUGUCUGUCAUACUUUGCUUAAGACAAUAGCUUUGUUCGAGAAGCGAUCAGGGUUGUUCAUUAAUUCAAAUGGUUCAACGGCAUGUACAGCCACUUUCAAAUAAACUGCUCCCACAACUUACUUUCUCACUUUAUCAUCAUCUUUCAUUUUCCAUUUUCAACUGUUCCCAUAUUACCAGCCAAGACACAGCGUCAGCUCUGCAUUUCCAUGAAAUGUGAGGCUUUGAGGUAGGAAAUUUGAAUUGGGAUUUCUUACUGGAAUGAUUGAACUUUUUUCAGAACAUUGAUAUUCAACUCAGUCCUCUCAAGAUUGUCUUCACCCUUUAAAGAGGACCUUACAUGAAGUGCUCAGUGCUAAUCUCCAAAUUCAGGCUCUGUGUGUGUUUCCGUCUGCAUGCAUGUACGAGCUGUGAGCCGAGAGUUUUGUGUGCGUGUGCGUGUGUGUUAGAGAGAGACAUGGCGUACCGUCCGGGGAACACUGGUAGAUAACAGCAUGCUUCUGUUCUCUGCUCUGCUGAACACCAAUCACGUCCUCUUUCAGAUAAAGCCCAGGGCAAUGAAAAUAGACUAGUGAAUGUAUGUAUGCAAAAGUGUUAUUUAUUUAUUUUAUUUUUUUUGUAUGUGCAGGGAUGUGUGACAAUGAACUGUUUUAAAAGCCUGGAAUUAAAUAUUUCUGCACUCAUGCCGAUCCAGCUGUCUUUGACUCACUUUUCUCAUCACGGUUUGCGCUGACCCUCAGGUGCCUACAAACCGUCGGUUUGGGCAAUUCUCACUCCCUGAUGCUUUGGCCUGUUGCCCACAUCCAGAGUUCUUGGCUAAUGGUUCUGACCUCUAUUAGUGCCCCUUUCCGUCACAGACUCACCUCUUCCAUCCUCCUCCAUAUUAUGGAGUCUCCUCCGGUUCUGCUCCUGGCUCCUCCUGUGCCGCAAAUCCGAGGUUUCCUCUCAACUAUCCUCCUCUCCUCCAAGUCUUGGAAGGAUGCCACUGACUCUCCUGUUGGCAACAUCAGGGUCGGAUCAAGACAUCGUGGCACUCCAGUUGGGAUUAAACCGUUAUGUGGUUGCACUAUGUGGCACAGGGAGCACAAGGUUUGGUGAACAUAACCUGAAAAAAAGGAAUAACUGGAAACCCACCACAAUGCCUUGAGGUGUUGACUCGUGCCGCUAUGGUUAGGACGUGACAUGAGAGGCGGAUUCAGGCUCCACUUUUACAUUUGCAGAGCA